rnacentral:lncRNA from 1 species
AAAACUUGGAAUUAAACAAAAAAAAAAUAAUAAUAAUAAAUAAACAAACCCUAAGUUACAUGUUCAUCCUAACAGAAAAAGCAUUUAGCUACUCAUAACGUUAAAAUUAAACAAAUAAAAGUUAAAAUACAUCAUCGGUUUUAAUUACAAUUAACAAGAUAAAAAUCACCCCGAGCCAUUGUUGAUGAUUCGCCACACGAAUCGCAACAAUUAUUCCUCGUCUUCUUCCUUACGUAAUGUAAAUCUUCCUGUAAAUUGACGAUGCAACGUGAUUAAUUUCAAAAUCUUGCACAAAUUAUCAAAUGAUUAUUUGCCAAAAAUCUGGAAUUAUUUUCUCAACGACUGCUGCGUUUUUCUUCUCAUUUUCUCCCUGCCGAAUUUUUCUUUUCUUUUCAUCUGCCAGCCCCACUUGUUUGCAUCCCAAAAGGACUCCACUUUCCUUGUUU